GUUUCCAGAUUCGCGUCACUGCCCGUCGUUUAGAACGAGAGGGAGAGAGACAACUGACAGAGUAGUGGUGGUGAUGGUUGGAUUCGUGAUUGUGAAGAGGAAAGCUUGUGAAUGAGAGGGAGAGAGAUAUGUACGGGAAAAAGAGGAGAGAUGAGCAAGAGGGUUAUACAGGAAAGAGGGAAAGAAAGGUGAGGAAGAGGGUGGGAAAGAGGGAAAGAGAGGUGAGCAAGGGAACCAUACGGGAAAGAGGGAAAGAGAGGAUAGAUGAGCAAGAGGUUAUAUGGGAAAGAGGGAAAGGCCGAAAGAGUGCAAGAGGGAAGAGAGGUCUAUUAAUUAUACGGGAAAGAGUCGAAACUUAGGAAAAAUUGAAACAAAAGCGCCUUUUUUUUCACUGCAUUGGAGCGCGAAAUUUAUCAUAUCUUGCGCGACGUUGGUAUACAAUUUGAUGUCGCGCAAAGUGCUUUUGCGCGACGACCAUGUUAAGGCGUCGCGCAAAGUUUUUUUUUUUUUUUCAAUUAUUAUAAAAAUUACUGAAAAUAUGACUUUACUGCUGCUUUCAAAUUCAAUUUUUUUUUACAUAAACCCCAAAAUAAUAUAUUUUUUCUAAUAAAAACCAACAAAUUUUUAUUUUUACAUAUAUAUAUCAUUCAAUUUCUUAAGUGUUAUAAGUAUUAUAUAAAUAAAUUAAAAUCUAUUUAGUAAAUAUAUAUAUAUCAUUGAACUUGAUCAAAAACGCGUUGUACGAAAUCCACUAGUAAAUAUAUAUCUAAUUAGUUAAUAUAUAUAUGUAAUUAUAUUAUAUAAUUAUUAUAGUUUUUAGGGGUAUUAAAUUGUUAAAUUAAAGAUCAAAUUCAUUAUUUGUAUUCAUAUAGGAUCAAGGAGUGUACCUGUAAAAAAUCAUCAAAAUCGGAGUUAAAAUAACCGUUAAAUCGUGCUUUUUCAUUUUAUAACCGUCGAAAAGUUUUGUCCGGUUACUUGAUCUCUGAAUGUUUGUUUUUUUUGCAAUUUUUUGGCGUAUGUUAUCUCGAAGUAUAUACAAACAUGUUUAACGGUUGGAUUGUUGAAACUAGUUUCGUAGAAUGAGUGUAUCCAUCAAAACAAUAGAUUCACUAAUACUUAAAGUUUAUUCAUACUUUUAUUAAGUAUAACAUAAGAUUUUGUGGUAUCCACUAGUGUAAAUAUUUUAAAUUGAAGAUCGAAUUCAAUCAUUGUAUUCAUAUAGGGUCAAGGAGUGUAGGUAAAAAAAUCAUCAAAAUCGGAGUUAAAAUGACCGUUAAAUCGUGAUUUUUCUUUUUAUAACCGUCGAAAAGUUUUGUCCCGUUACUUGAAUCUCUGAAUGUUUGUUUUUUGCAAUUUUUGGCGUAUGCGAUCUCGAAGUAUAUACAAACAUGUUUGACGGUUGGAUCAUUGAAACUAGUUUCGUAGAAUGAGUAUCCAUCAAAACAAUAGAUUCACUAAUACUUAAGAGUUUAUUCAUACUUUUAUUAAGUAUAACAUAAGAUUUUUUUGGUAUCCACUAGUGUAAAUAUUUUAAAUUGAAGAUCGAAUUCAAUCAUUGUAUUCAUAUAGGGUCAAGGAGUGUAGUUGUAAAAAAUCAUCAAAAUCGGAGUUAAAAAUGACCGUUAAAUCGUGAUUUUUUCGUUUAUAACCGUCGAAAAGUUUUGUCCCGUUACUUGAUCUCUGAAUGUUUGUUUUUUGCAAUUUUUGGCGUAUGCGAUCUCGAAGUAUAUACAAACAUGUUUUGACGGUUGGAUCAUUGAAACUAGUUUCGUAGAAUGAGUAUCCCAUCAAAACAAUAGAUUCACUAAUACUUAAUAGUUUAUUCAUACUUUUAUUAAGUAUAACAUAAGAUUUUGUGGUAUCCACUAGUGUAAAUAUUUUAAAUUGAAGAUCGAAUUCAAUCAUUGUAUUCAUAUAGGGUCAAGGAGUGUAGCUGCAAAAAAUCAUCAAAAUCGGAGUUAAAAUGACCGUUAAAUCGUGAUUUUUCGUUUUUUAUAACCGUCGAAAAGUUUUGUCCCGUUACUUGAUCUCUGAAUGUUUGUUUUUUGUAAUUUUUGACGUAUGCGAUCUCGAAGUAUAUACAAACAUGUUUGACGGUUGGAUCAUUUGAAACUAGUUUCGUAGAAUGAGUAUCCCAUCAAAACAAUAGAUUCACUAAUACUUAAUAGUUUAUUCAUACUUUUAUUAAGUAUAACAUAAGAUUUUGUGGUAUCCACUAGUGUAAAUAUUUUAAAUUGAAGAUCGAAUUCAAUCAUUGUAUUCAUAUAGGGUCAAGGAGUGUAGCUUGUAAAAAAUCAUCAAAAUCGGAGUUAAAAUGACCGUUAAAUCGUGAUUUUUCUUUUUAUAACCGUCGAAAAGUUUUGUCCCGUUACUUGAUCUCUGAAUGUUUGUUUUUUUGCAAUUUUUGGCGUAUGCGAUCUCGAAGUAUAUACAAACAUGUUUGACGGUUGGAUCAUUGAAACUAGUUUCGUAGAAUGAGUAUCCCAUCAAAACAAUAGAUUCACUAAUACUUAAGAGUUUAUUCAUACUUUUAUUAAGUAUAACAUAAGAUUUUUUUUGGUAUCCACUAGUGUAAAUAUUUUAAAUUGAAGAUCGAAUUCAAUCAUUGUAUUCAUAUAGGGUCAAGGAGUGUAGCUUGUAAAAAAAUCAUCAAAAUCGGAGUUAAAAUAACCGUUAAAUCGUGAUUUUUCGUUUUUUAACCGUCGAAAAGUUUUGUUCCCGUUACUUGCUCUCUGAAUGUUUGUUUUUUGCAAUUUUUUGCGUAUGCGAUCUCGAAGUAUAUACAAACAUGUUUGACGGUUGGAUCGUUGAAAUUAGUUUCGUAUAAUUCGUAUCCCAUCAAGUUCAAUGGUGUGUAUAUAAUAUAUAUUAUUUUAUUAAGUAGAUUUAAAUCUCUUUAUUUUGUACGUAUAAUUGACUGGUACACGAAGUAGUAUAUUACGUGUCAUUAUAAAAAUAGUGGGAUAUGUCAUAUAUGUGAUAAAAAGUUAAUAACUUAAAAAAAAAAAAAUUUCUCACAACUUUUAUUAAUUUUCAUUUUCCCUCUCUUUUUUGUUUCAUUUUCUUUUUUCCGUGUCGUGUCGUGUCGUGUUAUUGGGUCGUGUCAGGAAUUGUCAGGCAUAUCUUCCAUAGUUCAUAUAUUCCCAUAAUACUAUAUAUGUAUCUCAUUUUAUGCUUGGCCUAAUAAAUAAAAGAUACCGUUAUUUUAGAGGAACUUUGGCUUGGUAUUUGCUUAAACUACAAGAAAUAUUAAUUUGUAAACACAUAUUAAGUCCCAACCAAAACCAUUUUGCCACCAACUCUUCCACUAACGCCAGCUCCUGUGUGCACCUCAAAAUCCUUAGCCUCCAUCACAUGUUCAGUUGAUCCAAACGUCUUUAGCAGCCUCUUACAAUUCAAACAAAUCACAAUUCUUCUCAGGCAUUAUCUCGAACACUUUAGCUGCAUCCUCAACCGACCCGCAUUUCCCAUACAUUGCAAUCAACGCAUUGCCUACAAACACAUCCGAAAUCAGUCCCAUCUAUUGAUCAAAUCCACAAACACAUCAAUGGCAUCAACAAAAAGCUCGUUUCUUGCAUACCCACUAACAAGCGCAUUCCACUGGAACAAGUUCUUCCUCUUCAGCCCGUCGAAAACUGAGCGGGAAUCCAAAGGAGAACCGCACAUUGCACAUGGUAAUGAUGCGUGUGUUGAGAACAAAAUCACAGUUGAAAACGGUCAACGCAGAGACCAAGUUGUGGACUUUGCGUCCGGUUUCGACGUACUUCUGGCGCCCGCAGGCCUGUAAAGAGGCUCCCAUGGCGUCCUUCCCUUGCUAUGAGCUGGAAACUGCAUCGUGAGAGUGUAAUUGAAAAAGGUCAGAGCCUCCGAGAGGUUUUCAUCCUAACUACUCUACAAACACUAACAUUUUUAAUGCAACUAAGCAAAUGAAGCUUUUAAUGUACAAAUUUGAAAUAUAAGCACCAACCUCUGUGGCAAUAGAUACAGCACAGAACUCCUCAAUUGAGUAAUUGGAAACGAGCACUGCAUUAACUACCGUUUCCCAACUGUCAGAGUUCCUGUUAUAUCAAAGACAACCGUGUUCACCUGCAGGGAUCAAACACAUGUCAGUAAACGUCCAGACAUCAAUAAAAGUGUGAAAUGCUAAAAAAUUUAUCAACCUUCAUGACUUAGGUACCUUCAUGCCCUUUUGUUCAACUUUUAAUUUUAGAAAGGAAAAAAAAAAACAAAAAGAACGAAACAAUUAUUAGCCUUGUUUAUUAAAAUUAAUAUAAUUCAGGAUCCAAUCAAUCAAGUUACUAAACUACAUGUAAAUCAACACAAAUGGCAUAUUUGAUAAACACUAAGAUUUACUGCAAUAGAUAACCGCUUGAGCGGCAGAGACUAUCGCUUGAGCGGCAGAACUCAGUCAUACUACAGCUUGAGCGGCAGAGACCACCGCUUGAGCGGCAGAACUACAGCUUGAGCGGCAGAGACCACCGCUUGAGCGGCAGAACCCAAUUAUACCAAAAUCAAUGCAUGGACUGAUAUACAUGAAUAAGCAUGCAAACCUGAACUUGAAGCCAUGAUCUGUUUUAGGAUGUAUCUUCCCUUCUCUUGUACGACUACAAUGGAUGUAUUAGGUUUCAAAUGGGGCAACCUUGCUUAACUGUGAAUCAUCCAUAUUUAUACCGAGAAGAGGGACCAAUCCCAUUCUAUAUCUGAUAACUGCCUUAUCCCAUUAAUAAUGCAGUUAUCUUCAGUUAUUAUUAAGCCAACUGUUCUUCAUUAAUUCAAACAUGGCUUAAUCACAUUUUUCCCUCCAGUAUGUUUUACUUCAUUCGAAUAUAAAACCUUAAGAAGUCUAACCAUAUAUACAGCUCAUUUACCAAGUUCAGCUGCAAUCGGCAGUUUGAUGAACUCACAUAUAUGAAUUCAAGAAUGAUGAAAUCACAUGAAUUCUUACAUUGUUAUCAGAAAAGGAGUUGGGGAGAACUCUCCCUCAAUGAGAGCUGUUAUCUACAAGAAACUGGGAUCUAAAACUUGGCGAGUAUGGCUUGACAUGGACAAGGCCACCAAUCGUCAGAACCAAAGAGUCAUAUGAGACAGAUUCCAACUAUGAAAUGAUUGUUGCAUGUUCAAUCCCAAUACACUUGCACCCUCAGACAUAUGGAUAGUAUCUAAUCAGUAAUUGUCUUUUCCUAAUACCAAAACAAACAGGUUUUCGACGUCAUCGGAAGGAAAAGUAAGUAGGAACAAGUAUAAUGAAGGUACACCAGCAAAAAAAACAUGAAAAUAAAAUGCAUGAAAAGUUGAAAACCCAGAUUCUAAAUUGAAAAGCAAUUUGUUUCAACCAUUACUGCCGUAGGGAUUGCUAGUCCCAUGGCAAAAGGGCAAGCAACCACUAAUACUGAGAUACCGAAUUGUAAUGCCAGCUCAAAUUUAUCCAUGCCUUUUGGUAUCUAGUUUUCCGGAAAAAAGACCAAAUUCUCCAGGGAUGAACCAUCCAAGCCAUGUCAAAAAUGCAACAAUGACAACCUGAUGUAGGAAAGAAAAAAAAAUCAAUCAUGCAAUUGAAAAAUUGUCAUAAUAACGCAAUUAUCAAAUGCAACUAAGAGUAAAACAAAUAUAAAGAUAACAUAAAACAUACAACUUACAUGAUAUCUUUAUCUUUAUAGAAUGGAGACGAUGAGAUAAUUUGUUGGGAAUAUUAGUGUGGUAGAUGAGAAGCGGUGUUAAACCCUCAGCCUCCUGCUUUUUCCUUCACAAGUUUAUAUUAAUCCUCAUCCGAACUACAAUAAUAACUCUCACUAUCAUCACUACUACCAUUUCCGGAUUCCCAUUCGUCCUCAUCUUCGUUUGCCUUUUCCGCUGCAUUGUAUUGAGGUAGAUCACCAAGGUCAAUUGAUAUUUCGAAUUCGGGAACUCCAGGUACGUCAAACGGUUCUUGGACAAUAUUAGUAUCCCGAAGUGUUUCUUCACCAAUUUCUAUCGAAGAUGAUAACUGUUGGUCAGCGACAUUGUCGUCGUUCNCAUUUGUAGCGUCUAGCACAUUACUUUACAUAAAGUGCAUGGAGGAACUCUUAGAUAACAACAGCUUCAAGAAUUUAUAGUUUACAAGCAUUUUGUCAAGGUUAAUCAAUAUUUUAUGUCCCAAUUUUUUGGAUUAUUGAAUACAUUUGAUUUGAUAUUAUGUUAUGUGAGUCCACCUUCGCAUCCUAAAUCGACAAAAUUGCAAAAGCUUCACCGAAAACACCUUCAUGUUCAUACACAAAAUACACAUACAAAUCAACAAAAUUGCAAAAACUUCACACAAUCAACUUGAAUCACAUCACAAAAAAAAUCAAUUUGACAAAACCCAACAUGCAAUUUGAACCUAAACCCUAAAUAACAAAAACCCAUAAAAAAUCAGAAACCCUCACCUUGAAUUUGGGACUUGAUUCGCGUCAGUUUCCAGAUUCGCGUCACUGCCCGUCGUUUAGAACGAGAGGGAGAGAGACAACUGACAGAGUAGUGGUGGUGAUGGUUGGAUUCGUGAUUGUGAAGAGGAAAGCUUGUGAAUGAGAGGGAGAGAGAUAUGUACGGGAAAAAGAGGAGAGAUGAGCAAGAGGGUUAUACAGGAAAGAGGGAAAGAAAGGUGAGGAAGAGGUGGGAAAAGAAAGAGAGGUGAGCAAGGGAACCAUACGGAAAGAGGGAAAGAGAGGAUAGAUGAGCAAGAGGUUAUAUGGGAAAGAGGGAAAGGCCGAAAGAGUGCAAGAGGGAAGAGAGG
rnacentral:lncRNA from 1 species